rnacentral:rRNA from 1 species
ACCAUGCAAGUCGAGCGGUAGCACAGAGAGCUUGCUCUCGGGUGACGAGCGGCGGACGGGUGAGUAAUGUCUGGGAAACUGCCUGAUGGAGGGGGAUAACUACUGGAAACGGUAGCUAAUACCGCAUAACGUCGCAAGACCAAAGUGGGGGACCUUCGGGCCUCAUGCCAUCAGAUGUGCCCAGAUGGGAUUAGCUAGUAGGUGGGGUAACGGCUCACCUAGGCGACGAUCCCUAGCUGGUCUGAGAGGAUGACCAGCCACACUGGAACUGAGACACGGUCCAGACUCCUACGGGAGGCAGCAGUGGGGAAUAUUGCACAAUGGGCGCAAGCCUGAUGCAGCCAUGCCGCGUGUGUGAAGAAGGCCUUCGGGUUGUAAAGCACUUUCAGCGGGGAGGAAGGCGAUAAGGUUAAUAACCUUGUCGAUUGACGUUACCCGCAGAAGAAGCACCGGCUAACUCCGUGCCAGCAGCCGCGGUAAUACGGAGGGUGCAAGCGUUAAUCGGAAUUACUGGGCGUAAAGCGCACGCAGGCGGUCUGUCAAGUCGGAUGUGAAAUCCCCGGGCUCAACCUGGGAACUGCAUUCGAAACUGGCAGGCUAGAGUCUUGUAGAGGGGGGUAGAAUUCCAGGUGUAGCGGUGAAAUGCGUAGAGAUCUGGAGGAAUACCGGUGGCGAAGGCGGCCCCCUGGACAAAGACUGACGCUCAGGUGCGAAAGCGUGGGGAGCAAACAGGAUUAGAUACCCUGGUAGUCCACGCCGUAAACGAUGUCGAUUUGGAGGUUGUGCCCUUGAGGCGUGGCUUCCGGAGCUAACGCGUUAAAUCGACCGCCUGGGGAGUACGGCCGCAAGGUUAAAACUCAAAUGAAUUGACGGGGGCCCGCACAAGCGGUGGAGCAUGUGGUUUAAUUCGAUGCAACGCGAAGAACCUUACCUGGUCUUGACAUCCACAGAACUUUCCAGAGAUGGAUUGGUGCCUUCGGGAACUGUGAGACAGGUG